UGUAUUACCGCGGCUGCUGGCACGUAGUUAGCCGUGACUUUCUAAGUAAUUACCGUCAAAUAAAGGCCAGUUACUCCCUCUAUCUUUCUUCACUACCAACAGAGCUUUACGAGCCGAAACCCUUCUUCACUCACGCGGCGUUGCUCCAUCAGACNUGCGUCCAUUGUGGAAGAUNCCCNCUACUCCUACGGGAGGCAGCAGUAGGGAAUCUUCCACAAUGGACGCAAGUCUGAUGGAGCAACGCCGCGUGAGUGAAGAAGGGUUUCGGCUCGUAAAGCUCUGUUGGUAGUGAAGAAAGAUAGAGGUAGUAACUGGCCUUUAUUUGACGGUAAUUACUUAGAAAGUCACGGCUAACNAC
rnacentral:rRNA from 1 species